rnacentral:rRNA from 1 species
GACGAACGCUGGCGGCGUGCUUAACACAUGCAAGUCGACCGAAGAGCGAUGGACGCUUGCUUCUAUCAUUCUUAGUGGCAAACGGGUGAGUAACGCGUAAUCAACCUGCCCUUCAGAGGGGGACAACAGUUGGAAACGACUCCUAAUGCCGCAUACGAUCGGACCUCGGCAUCGAGGAUAGAGGAAAGGUGGCCUCUAUUUGUAAGCUAUCACUGAAGGAGGGGAUUGCGUCUGAUUACCUAGUUGGAGGGGUAACGGCCCACCAAGGCGAUGAUCAGUAGCCGGUCUGAGAGGAUGAACGGCCACAUUGGGACUGAGACACGGCCCAGACUCCUACGGGAGGCAGCAGUGGGGAAUCUUCCGCAAUGGACGAAAGUCUGACGGAGCAACGCCGCGUGAGUGAUGACGGCCUUCGGGUUGGAAAGCUCUGUUAAUCGGGACGAAAGGCCUUCUUGCGAAUAGUUAGAAGGAUUGACGGUACCGGAAUAGAAAGCCACGGCUAACUACGUG